AGAAAAGACAUCAUCCUCUUCUAUAAUCUCCAUCUGUAAUUGGACUAACAACUGGACCAGUGAAUGCAGGUCACACCAUGGUCUCACGAGUGAAAAUGAGUGCUCUAUGGAUUGAACAGAAAAGGUGAAUCAAAACUCCAACCAUCUGUAUGAGGGUCUGGAUGGAUAAAGGAUGCCCACUGGAGCUGGAAAUGAUGGAUCAGGUGGAUCCACACUUGAACCAUCUGUAUGAUGAUCUGCACCCACUGGAUCUGUAAAUGGUGGAGCAGGUUUCUGAAUUGAUGUCAGAUGCAAAGCAGAAGCUUAUUUUCUUCCAGUU